GACGUAGGGGGCCAGCGUUGUUCGGAAUUACUGGGUGUAAAGGGUUCGUAGGCGGUGUGGCAAGUCGGGAGUGAAAUCUCUGGGCUCAACCCAGAGUCUGCUUCCGAAACUGCUGUGCUUGAGUGUGGGAGAGGCGCGUGGAAUUGCAGGUGUAGCGGUGAAAUGCGUAGAUAUCUGCAGGAACACCCGUGGCGAAAGCGGCGCGCUGGACCAAUACUGACGCUGAGGAACGAAAGCUAGGGGAGCAAACAGG
rnacentral:rRNA from 1 species